AGGGGUUGUGCAGGGCUGGCAGAGAUGACCUAGUAUCUGUGGCUUCCUUUGACAUCUAAAGUUGACUGACAAAGAAGAUCAGGUAGAUUAGGCUGUUGAUACCUAAAUGAUACUGGGUAUUUGUGGUUUUAUUUUUGAAGUGCAUCUAGAAUGCUGCGGUUAGCAGAGGAAAGCUGCAGACAGAGGAAGGAAGUAGAGGGCAAGAAAGACACCGAGUUUACUGAAUACAACAAUUGUUUUUCUAACCCUGUGCAUGUGUGUGGAUGCUUGGUUUGGAAGGCACACCAGAGGGAAGACAAAUCAAUAAAAGCUGUUCUCACAGAAAUCUGAGGAGCUUCAGACGACAAAAUUAUUUGAUGAGCUGCCCUUUGAGUCAAUCAGCAUUAUUCCAUUGGAAAAAAAAAAAUGUAAACAAGCAAGGAUCAAAUUAAUACAUAAAGCAAAAGGAAUGGAUGUUGCUGUAAUUACGUUUAAUACAUCUGGACAAAAGGUGUUACUGAGAAGAUUUGCUGGGGCCACCGUUGUGUUGACUUGGAGUCUUUAUUCUACAUAUAGCUUCGCCUAAUCAGAAUUUGAGAGCAAAUGAGUGAAGUGUUGGUUGUAGGCCUGCAGCAACCCCUCCUAUUCCUUAGUCAAGAGGUAGCUAAGGAAUCAUCUCCUCUAGAUGCAGCUUCUUCCCGCUACCUCCUGAGAGCAGUGUGGAAGAUGUAGUCCUUCCCUUCCCACACGGCUAUUCAGAACCGAACCUUCAAGGCUGUAAGAGCUGAACUUGCAACGAGCGAGGCUGCUGCCCAAGUGCCUCUGGCCCACUUGGUUCUGUCGUCUACAGUGGCACACAAGGGCGUAAGAACCCCAGAUGACCUUGCAACCAGUAAAACCUGCUCAAAGCACAACGAGGGUGGAAAGAUCUAACCUGACCAAAUCUCAUAGGACCUAAAACACUGAAUGUGGCAUUACCACAUCCUGCUAGCCCCUGUAAUAGUCAGGCCACGAGCCAGCAAAGUGCUUGUAUAGCUGUUUAACUUCAGGCACACCAGCAGCCUCACUGAAGUCAGUAGGGCUAUUUGUAUGUUAAAUAUUGACUAUGGUAAAUGUUCUGCUGGCUCAGAGCCAACAGACAUCUGUCAUGGCUAUUCGUUUAAAGAAAGCAACAGCAUCUAGCAGCAAAAGAAAAGGGCUGCUUUGGGGCUUUGGGGAAGGGGGAGGUAGAAAUCUACCUGAAUGUAGAAAAGGGUGGGUUUAACUACCUUGGCCGAUGAAAUAAUUUUUUAGGGGGGUUAACUACCCAAGACUAACAUAGAGGCAGUUCUCUUAGUGUCUUUAUCUGCCCACUGAAAGCAUGAAAUGCCAUUACUAAAGAGUGUCUAUGUCAAUGGUGUCUAAUGACCUCAGAAAUUGUGUGGCUGUGUCACCUGGGGCAAUGGAGCUGUUCUCCAUCCCUUUGUAGCAUAAAUGAGAGCACAAAGUGUUCAACUUUGUCUAGGUAUUCUUGAGUUUUAGUUUUCUAGUGGAGUAACCUAUAUUUAACUUCAUUUUUUUUUAAAUUAAAAGCCUGAUCUUUUCAGUUCCUAUUUCUACUACCAGUCCCUAUUCAUUUAAAUAAAUAUACAGAUGGAAUGCUAUUUUCAGAAAUGCUCGGCAUUGGCUUAUAUUCUGUGGAAGUCAGCAGUAAAACUCCUACUGAUUUUACUUGGGAGUGGAACUAUGUCAAUACUGAAUGGUUUUGAAAAGCACAACUUAAGUAUCAUUUUGACUAAAUGCUGCCCA